GCAUUUUCUGCGAUAAACGCUGCAAAAUAACCCUUCAGAUCUAGAAUCCCCUUAUCCAAGACAUAAAGACCUCCUCCCAACCUCUCACUCUUCUCUCACAAUCUCUCACUCUAAUUCCCUCCCCUAUUCCAUAAUCUUCCAAGAUCUAACUUUUAUUCAAUUCUGCUUUGAUAAUGUCGACCAGAGAAUUGAAAUCGAAAAAUCAAUUCAAAUCUAAGAAGUUGGAUACAAGAAGUUAUGUGUUUUCUAAAAAUUGGAAGAUAUAGGUUCCCGGCCGUCGAGGUGAUUGAUUUUCUUCAACCUACUCCGAAUUAUCUACUUGAUUUCCGAAACCGCCAGUCACCGGAGAACGACAAGUAUGGAGAACGACAAGAUAUUCGAGGGCGAGUUUCCCGAUGCCGGCUUACGGUGUUGCCGCAAGAUCCUAACUCCUCACAGAUCUUGAAAAGUUGACGAUAUGAGAAAGAUGCUUGAAGAUGAAGCUUGUGUGCUUUGUGAAAUACAUACGAAAGUCGAGCAGGCGAUGAGGAUUCACCAAGAUCUACUUGAUUUCCCUGAACGCUAAUCACUGGAGAACGACAAGUAUGAAGAAGAAGUAUGGACAUCAACAAGAUCUUCGAGGGCGAGUUUCCUGAUGUUUACGGUGUCGCCGCUAUCAAAGAUCCUAACUCCCAGGUUUUUUCGUUUUUCUCUAUCAAAGAUACUUGGAGAACGACAAGUAUGAAGAAGAUUCGCUGAUUUGAUUGCUGAAUUGUUGGUGAUAUAUUGUUCUUCGUUUUUCUUGUUAAUUUGAUGAAAAUCUGGUGGGUUCUGUUAAUUUACAAAAUGCAAUUUAAAACAAAAAUCUACAACUAAGUCGAAAUCCUUCUUCAUGAUAUGGGGAAAACCCUAUGUUAAACUGAUUCGGGUCAUUUUAGGGUUUAAUUUGUUUUUAUUUAGGUCGAUGUAUUGAAUUUUUGGUCAAAUUGGUUUGGGUUCUUGGAUUUCUUAUAUUUUUGAAGGAGAUAGUCUUCAUCCAGUGUGACUAUGGUCAGUCAUGUGGUGGUAUGUGGGGAAGGGCUGGAGGGGGAAGAUGAGAAGGAGAUAGAGGGAGAGAUACACGAAAGAGGAGGGAGGGUGCAGGGUAAGGGGUGUUGUAUCGGUUGAUAUGGGCUUGCAGAAGGUGUUUCAGGAGGGAAGAAGAGGUUGGAGUUGUGGCAGCGAUUUCAACUUCAGUACUUGCUUUAAGCGCAAAUUUUUAUAAACAUCAUUUAUUAAUCUUAUUUUGACAUAGUCAUCUAGCAUAUGAAGCAUGAGAUGCAUUCCUAGUUUCCUACUUGCUAAGAGGUAUUCAAUGCUGCAUUGAUAUUUUAUAAUGGUCGAUAAUGUUGUACGCACAAACUCAUAUUUAUAUUGUACAUCAGCAUUGGUUAGCCAGUAUGCCCCUAAUUAUAAGCUCCAACCUUCUUACUGAUUAUUGCCAGGAAGUCUAGUCUUCGUUGGAAUUCACUAAUAUACUUUCUUAGGAGACUUUGGUCUAAUUAAAAAAUCCUUCAGUGUUUUAGUAGGAAAAUUCCUUUAGCAAUGAUGUUGGUGGAAUUUUAUUGGCAUGGACAACCUACAUGUAGUCCCGUGUAUGGUUUUGUUGAUAGUCUCUGUCAUUGAAAAACUUCUUUUGUUUGCUGCUGUGAACUGUAACCCAAGAUCGUUUACUUGUUAGGCCACUGUAACUCUGUCAGUCAAGUGGUAUUUGAAAUUGCCUGAUAUGUAGAUACAUUGCUUCAUAGUAGCUCGACUGCUAGAUAAUGACAAUGCCUUCUACAUUUUCAGGAACACCCUUAAAGUAUAUGGAGUAUUUUUGAUUUUGAGAUGCAUGAGCGUUCUUAAUUGACCCACCAUGCUCAGAAAAGUCUAAAUGUCUUAAAAAGAAUCAUAUAGUUUUUUCUUCAUCUCUACUAAAUCGUUAUAUAUCAUCAACAAACAUAUUGUGGGAAAGAAUAAAUCUUUAAUGCUGAAUUGGAGGUGUUUUUGGAAAGUGGAUUACCUUCUUCAAUCAUCAAAAAGGUACUCAUCUAAACUCCCUCCGUUUGUUUGAAGUUAACAUUUUACAGUGCUGAGCAAACUGAACAUAGAUAAUUGUAUUAUAUAAAAGAAAUUCAUAGAAGUCAAGUUAUUCCGUAAUUAAAAACAUAAACAAAUAAGAAUUUUUUGUGUUGUUUGAUGUGGAGAUAAUAUUUAGGGCUAGUUAUGUUCCUUAGGAUUUGUUGCUGGUGCCUGUUGUUUUUACUUCGUCUGUUUUUGCUUUCUGCUGUGUGUUACUGGUUGAUGUUGGUUGAUGUUGUUGGUGCUGCAUCUGCUUGUUCCUGCAGUUUUUGGCUGCUGUUGAGGCUGUUUUGGUGCUGGUUGCAGUCUACCCAGCUUCUCCAGGUGCUGCUGCAAGAGUGCUGGGUGUGGGUUGUACUCCUGAUCUAGUCUGUUCUGCAGGGAGUGCCCUGGGGUGUGUGCAGUUAGGUAUGCAUGAAUGGGUUGUUAUGUUGUUGCUGUGUACAGUCUGGCCUUAUGUAUUGCUUUUCACCUUUGUUGUGUUUGUAAUGUUUGGUUGUUAAGGAGUGGUCUGUACUCUAACCUUUUAUGGUGUUCCUUGUUUGGAUUCAUGGUUCCUACCUUUUGGUAAUAAAUUUUGCUAAUUUGCCAAAAAAAAAAA